rnacentral:rRNA from 1 species
UACAGAGGUCUCGAGCGUUGUUCGGAAUUAUUGGGCGUAAAGAGCUUGUAGGCGGUUUGUCGCGUCUGCUGUGAAAUUUCGGGGCUCAACCCCGAACUUGCAGUGGGUACGGGCAGACUAGAGUGUGGUAGGGGAGACUGGAAUUCCUGGUGUAGCGGUGAAAUGCGCAGAUAUCAGGAGGAACACCGAUGGCGAAGGCAGGUCUCUGGGCCAUAACUGACGCUGAGAAGCGAAAGCAUGGGGAGCGAACAGG